CCCUUAGAUGUUCUGGGCAGCACGCGCGCUACAAUGGUCUUCGCAAACGGAUGCAUUCUCGAAGGAGAAUGCCAAUCUUGGAAUCUAUGCCUUGGUCGGGACAGUUGCUUGCAAUUUUUCGACUCGAACCAGGAAUUCCUUGAAUCGUGAUUCAUCACAUCACGAUGAAUACGUCCCUGCCCUUUGUACACACCGCCCGUCGCUCCUACCGAUCGAAGAGUUAGGUGAAUUGUUUUGAUCGAUAAGAUUUGACUAUGGUCAACUCUCGUUGUGAAAUUCUGUGAAUCUGACUGUUUAGAGGAAGGAAAAGUCGUAACA
rnacentral:rRNA from 1 species